UACGUAGGGUGCGAGCGUUAAUCGGAAUUACUGGGCGUAAAGCGUGCGCAGGCGGUUUUGUAAGCCAGAUGUGAAAUCCCCGGGCUCAACCUGGGAAUGGCAUUUGGGACUGCAAGGCUGGAGUGUGGCAGAGGGGACUGGAAUUCCUGGUGUAGCAGUGAAACGCGUAGAGAUCAGGAGGAAUACCGAUGGCGAAGGCAGGUCCCUGGGUUAACACUGACGCUCAUGCACGAAAGCGUGGGGAGCAAAC
rnacentral:rRNA from 1 species